CGCAAUCUUACACAAAACAAAACUAAAGCCAAACCCCCCUUCAAAACUGUGUAUUGUGCAAAAACAAAACCAAAAAAGCAAGCAACCAAAGAACUCUGUAUUGUUAGUUUAGUUUGCCCCAGCUAAAAGAAAAUAAGAGAGCGAAAAUCGUAAAGUGCCUGUGCGUGUGUGCGUGUGCGGAAAAGGGAUUAGCUGAAAAGAUAUGCUGCCGAAGGAGAGAACCGGCCGGAGAUUGGCUUUGGCACUGGCGUGGACGAAAAUGCGUCCGGGAGACGGCUUGCGAGUAGCGGCGAACCUUGCACCUGUCCGGAACAACUCUACUUUGCAAUUUCAUCGAUGAGGCUGGAAGGUGCGAGUUGUCCUCGUAAUGGGGCCAGGUCAGCCGCUACUUGCUAGCAGGUUCGAGCGUUUUUGGAGGUCAUCUCGAAUGGUUAAGUAAUCAAUUGUAUCAACCGCUUUGUGACGUUCGAUUGAGGAAGAUUACUAAUUUGAUUUCUUGUAGGAUAUUAACCAUUUGGACCAUUUUGGGCGGAAGUGUCUUUUCUUAAGGUACCUCCCUCUCCCACGAUGAUUCCGCGAGGGUCCACUUGCUGUGUGGUAAGACAAGCCACCCUCCC